GUCCACGCCGUAAACGAUGAUAACUAGCUGUCCGGGUUCAUAGAACUUGGGUGGCGCAGCUAACGCAUUAAGUUAUCCGCCUGGGGAGUACGGUCGCAAGAUUAAAACUCAAAGGAAUUGACGGGGGCCUGCACAAGCGGUGGAGCAUGUGGUUUAAUUCGAAGCAACGCGCAGAACCUUACCAGCGUUUGACAUCCUUGUCGCGGUUUCCAGAGAUGGAUUCCUUCAGUUCGGCUGGACAAGUGACAGGUGCUGCAUGGCUGUCGU
rnacentral:rRNA from 1 species